CCAUCACCUAAAGCAUUGCAGAGGUGCAUAUUUAUGUUAUUCCUCAUAAUUAUGUUAUCCGUCAGCUAUUCGUUUUAAACAAAAAAGCGCAUCUUUCGUUCCAAGUUCAGAAAAAUGGGGAAAAAGUUGAUCAUCAAUUAAUUUUUCGUUUGGCCACCAAGUCUUACUUUUGUUAGUAUUCUGAAACUGGAUAUAAUUAUGUUUUUAACUUAAAAGAAAACGAAGAAAAAUGUAAUAGAAUAAAAAUAAAAGAAUUGUACACGAAGUGUUUUCGACGUUUAAUCGAGCAAUAUAUGUACAUAUAUAUCCCAGAUUAAAUAUACCUAUAUGUACACAUGUAUAUAUAUAUAUGUAAAUGUAUCAUAUUAUAUGUAAAAGAAAAAAUUUAUAAGAAAAACAGGAAAAAAAACUGUUAUCGCGCUUGGUAAUGAUGGUACGGGAGUUUGACCGAAAACAUGGUAUAUACGGGAUGUUAUAAAGUGGUCGAAAGUAGUUAAUGGCAGCAACUUUAUAAAAGCUGUUUUAUGCGUCUGCUUUGACGUUUGGCAUUUCCAAAUUACGUAGUAGUCUUUAGUCAGCCAACAAAAUAUUGUAAAAUUUCAUCGUCCUCGCGAUUCACGGCAAAGACCUUCCCCGAAUCAUCUGUCCGGGAUGAGCUCGCGGUUUAAUAGCAGCCUCUUGGAAUUCUUACAUUCGCGAUCAUGCAAUCUUUAUCGAGCUGCAACUCAGACGCAUAAGUUUGGAGAAAAAAGAAGAAUCGUAGGAAUAAUUUACGAUCAACUAAGAGCCAAAUAAUUUUUAUAUACUCCUCAAAUGUGUAAUACCAUCAUUGCCUAAAUGAGUGAACUGAUUGCAAAAUGAAAAUAAACACGUCUUACAAUGACCCGAAAGUUUUGGGGUCACU